UAUUUACUAAUCAAAGCUCAAAUAUUUAACACCCGUAACCGUGAUAUAAUAAUAGGGAUAUAUAGAAUGUGCUAAAAUAAAAGCUCAAUUUGGCGGCCCAUUUACGUUACAGGGCCCUGAAGGACCGACUAUGUGUGUUGUAUAUAUCAGGCGUCGGCAGCUCAUCAGUUGAUCGAAUUUUGGGGCAAUCGAUUUACGUUGCGGAAACCCUAGAGAUGGAGCUGGAGAUGGAACGGAGAUUGAAGAAAGAACACAAUGCUAAAGUGAAAGCUCUGAAGAAACAAAAGGCUAUCGAGAAAGCAAAGCUGGGAGAAUUGAAUGCAAAAUCUAAAAAGAGCGCAGCGAAGAAGAUAGGAAAAGAGGAAGAGAAUCAUGCCGAUUUUUCUGACCCAGAAACUCCUAUUGGCGAGAGGAAAAGGCUAUCUUCACAGAUGGCCAAACAUUACAGUCCUUCAGCGGUGGAAAAAUCGUGGUAUGAAUGGUGGGAGACAUCUGAGUUUUUCAAGGCUGACGCGACUAGUUCCAAACCACAGUUUGUGAUUGUUCUUCCUCCUCCCAAUGUGACUGGCGCGUUGCACAUCGGCCACGCACUAACCUGUGCAGUCCAGGACACACUGAUUCGUUGGAAGAGAAUGUCUGGCUUUAAUGCUUUGUGGGUUCCUGGGUUUGACCAUGCUGGUAUUGCUACACAGGUUGUGGUCGAGAAACAUCUCAGCCGUGAAACAGGAUUGACAAGACAUGACUUUGGCCGUGAGGAGUUCUUGAACCAUGUCUGGCAGUGGACAGAGAGUAAAAGUGGUACAAUCAAAUCACAGCUACGUCGUAUGGGCUCAUCUCUUGAUUGGUCCCGUGAGUGUUUUACCAUGGACGAGCACAGAUCAAAGGCUGUCACUGAGGCCUUUGUAAGGUUACACAAGGAAGGGCUUAUCUACAGGGAUCUCCGGCUUGUUCAUUGGGACUGCUUCCUUAGCACCGCCAUAUCUAAGCGUGAGGUUGAGCAUAUCGAGAUCAAAGAAAGAACACCAAUCAAAGUCCCUGGGUAUGAGAAGCCAGUUGUAUUUGGUCUUAUCACUUCGUUUGCUUACCCUCUUGAGAGAGGAGGCGGUGAGGUUGUUGUUGCCACUACUAGGGUGGAAACUAUGCUUGGUGAUACCGCCAUUGCUGUUCAUCCCGAUGAUGCAAGAUACAAGCAUCUUCACGGAGAGUUUGCUGUGCACCCGUUCAAUGGGCGGAAGCUACCAAUCAUCUGUGAUGAGAUACUCGUUGACCCAAAUGUUGGUACUGGUUGUGUUAAGAUCACUCCAGCACAUGACACCAAUGAUUUCGAUGUAGGAAGGCGCCACAAUCUGGAGUUUAUAAACGUAUUCACUAAUGAUGGAAGGAUCAAUGCGAAUGGCGGGCCUGACUUCACUGGCAUGCCACGCUUUGCCGCUCGUGAAGCUAUCGUUGAAGCUCUGCGUAAGAAGGGGCUGUACAGAGGUGAGGAAAACAACAAGAUGACAAUUGGAGUUUGCUCAAGAAGUAGUGAUGUUGCUGAGCCUAUGCUAAAGCCUCAGUGGUACGUGAGUUGCAGCCUGAUGGCAAAGGAGGCUCUUGAUGUUGCUGCCAACGGGAAGAUUGAGUUUAUUCCCAAGCAGUACUCUGCAGAAUGGAGAAGAUGGCUAGAGAGCAUAUGCGACUGGUGCAUCUCCCGACAGCUUUGGUGGGGUCACAGAAUACCGGCAUGGUACGCCACUCUAGAAGAAGAUCAUCUUAAGGAAACAGGUGCCUACAACGACCAUUGGGUCGUUGCCAGAAACGAGGAAGAUGCUCAAAAAGAGGCUGCACAAAAAUUUUCUGGGAAGAAGUUGUUGGAGCUCUCCCAAGAUCCUGAUGUGCUUGACACUUGGUUUUCCUCUGGUCUCUUUCCCUUAUCUGUUUUGGGAUGGCCUGAUGAAACCGAGGACUUCAAAGCUUUCUAUCCAGCGUCUGUUCUUGAAACUGGACAUGACAUUCUGUUUUUCUGGGUUGCUCGCAUGGUUAUGUUAGGAAUGAAAGUGGGUGGUGGGGAUGUUCCUUUCAGGAAGGUUUUUUUGCAUCCCAUGAUACGUGAUGCACAUGGCCGCAAGAUGUCAAAGUCUCUUGGAAAUGGCAUUGAUCCGCUUGAAGUCAUUAACGGUGUAACUCUCGCAGGUCUACACGCCAGGUUAGAAGAAGGUAACCUGGAUCCCAAGGAGCUGGUUGUUGCCAAGGAGGGACAGGUGAAGGAUUUUCCAAAUGGUAUCCCUGAAUGUGGCGCUGACUCUCUUCGAUUUGCCCUUGUAUCUUACACGGCCCAGUCUGAUAAAAUCAACAUGGAUGUCCUCCGAGUUGUUGGUUACCGCCAGUGGUGUAAUAAACUGUGGAACGCCGUCAGAUUUGCGAUGAUGAAGCUUGGUGAUGGCUAUACUCCUCCUUCACAAGCUCUAAGCCCUAGAGCCAUGCCCUUCAGCUGCCAAUGGAUCCUCUCUGUACUAAAUACGGCAAUAUCAAAGACUGUGGAUUCCUUGAAUGCUUUUGAGUUAUCGGAUGCAGCCAACACGGUGUAUGCCUGGUGGCAAUACCAAUUCUGUGAUGUAUUUAUCGAAGCAGUUAAGCCUUAUUUUUCUGCUGAAAACCCAGGCAGGACCCAUGCACAAGACGCUCUCUGGGUGUGUCUCGAGACUGGCUUGCGAUUGCUGCAUCCGUUUAUGCCUUUUGUAACAGAAGAGCUGUGGCAGCGGUUGCCGUCACCGCAAGACUGUGAACGGAAGGCGUCUAUCAUGAUAUGUGACUACCCUUCUCCCGAAGAGAAGUGGACAAAUGAGAAGGUGGAGACCGAAAUGGACGUGGUUCUGGUGACCGUGAAAACUCUCAGAGCUUUGAGAGCUGCAGAGUCGCUAAAGAGACGGAUAAAUGAAAGGUUGCAUGCGUUUGCUCUGUGCGAAAACGCAUUGACACUGGGAAUUGUGCAAUCCCAUGAGUUGGAGAUCAGAACUCUGGCAAAUCUCUCAUCCUUUGAGGUUGUGUUGAAGGGAGAAGACAAAGCAGCCCAAUCUGGAUCGGCUGUUGUAGAGACAGUUCGAGAACCUCAAGGUGUAUCUAAAAUUGGAUGGAGCUUCCAUUAAUGCGGAGCUGAGUCUGAGAAAAACAGAAACAAGAUUAUAGAAGUACAAAAGCAAUAGGAGAAGUUGCAGAAGGUAAUGGGGGUGACUGGGUACGAAGACAAGGUCCCUGCAAACAUUAGGGAAGACAACAUGAGGAAGCUCACUGUUAUUCAAACUUAA